rnacentral:rRNA from 1 species
UACGUAGGGGGCGAGCGUUGUCCGGAGUUACUGGGCGUAAAGCGCUUGUAGGCGGUCCACCAAGUUUGGGGUGACAGUUGCCGACUUAAUCGGCAAAGUGCCUCAAAGACUGGCGGACUUGAGGGCCACAGAGGGACAUGGAACUCCAAGUGUAGUGGUGAAAUGCGUAGAUAUCUGGAAGAACACCAAAGGCGAAGGCAGUGUCCUGGGUGGUCGCUGACGCUGAGAGGCGAAAGCCAGGGGAGCGAACGGG